GAUGAACGCUAGCGGGAGGCUUAACACAUGCAAGUCGAGGGGUAAAUGGCAGCAAUGCUAUGAGACCGGCGGACGGGUGCGUAACGCGUAUGCAACAUACCUUGUGCAGGGGGAUAGCCCGUGGAAACGCGGAUUAAUAUUCCAUAGUCCAGCUGUAUCGCAUGGUAUAGUUGGUAAAGAUUUAUCGGCACAAGUUUGGCAUGCGUCUGAUUAGCUUGUUGGUAGGGUAACGGCCUACCAAGGCUACGAUCAGUAGGGGUUCUGAGAGGAUUAACCCCCACACUGGUACUGAGACACGGACCAGACUCCUACGGGAGGCAGCAGUGGGGAAUUUUGGACAAUGGGCGAAAGCCUGAUCCAGCCAUGCCGCGUGCAGGAUGAAGGCCUUCGGGUUGUAAACUGCUUUUGUACGGAACGAAAGACUCCUUCUAAUAAGGGGUACCAUGACGGUACCGUAAGAAUAAGCACCGGCUAACUACGUGCCAGCAGCCGCGGUAAAACGUCUA
rnacentral:rRNA from 1 species